UACGAAGGGGGCAAGCGUUGUUCGGAAUUACUGGGCGUAAAGGGCGCGUAGGCGGCUUAUCAAGUCAGGCGUGAAAUUCCCGGGCUCAACCUGGGGGCUGCGCUUGAUACUGAUUGGCUUGAAUGCGGGAGAGGAUAGUGGAAUUCCCAGUGUAGAGGUGAAAUUCGUAGAUAUUGGAAAGAACACCGGUGGCGAAGGCGGCUAUCUGGCCCGUAAUUGACGCUGAGGCGCGAAAGCGUGGGGAGCAAACAGG
rnacentral:rRNA from 1 species